rnacentral:lncRNA from 1 species
CAUUAAAUAUUUUUCUAUAGUUUUUUAAUUCUUACAAAUUCAAAAUUUAAAUAUAUAUUUCAAACUAAAAGUAUCAAAAUUAAAAAUUUAAUAUAACAAUAAAUUAGUAGUAGAUAUAAUAGAGAUGAUAUAUAAAUAUUUAUCCUAAAAAAAUUAUUGAAUGAUAAAAAUAUUUAAUAAAAAAACAAAAUAUUAAUAGUUGGAGAAAAAAGAGACUGAAAGUUUGUUUAAUUCGUUACGUUAUUUGUUUUGCGCACGGAAAAAGAGGAAUUUUGAAAUGGGUGUGUUGACGGACCUAAAAGGAAUUUUGAAAUGGGUGUGUCGACGGACCAAAAUUUGAAAUACGUGCUUUUUAUAUAUAGUAUAGAUGUUAAAAAGUGGGUUUGUCGA